rnacentral:piRNA from 1 species
UUGGUAGAGCGGAGGACUGUAGU